CUUAUUGAAAAGUAUAUGAAUUCUACUUACUUAUAGUAAAAGGAAAGGGUAUGAUUUUGGUCGAAAAGGGUCUCGCCUUUAAAUAUACUUUCAAGUAGAGAUAUUCAAGAUAUCUAAUCACCCGUCUCUACUGAAAACUGUGGAACCCGGUAAUCAUGUACAAGUAACAACAUUAUGAGUAUACCUAAAAAAGACCAUUAGGAAGAUCUAGGACUUGAUGGAUAGAUGUUAUGUAAACCAAAACACCGAAAGUAUAAAAGAAAAUGCGGCUUUUGACGAGACAUACGACAGAGAGAAUUAGUGAGUUUUUGUAGGUUCUCAACAGACCCAUAAGCUGAGGAAGAAGAAGAAGAAGAAGAAGAAGAAGAAUACCUAUA